UGCUCAGGAUGAACGCUGGCGGUAUGCUUAACACAUGCAAGUUUAACGGCGAAAGCCGUGACGUACGGGUGAGUAACGCGUGAGUUAUCUACAUUUAGGAGGGGGACAACAAAUGGAAACGUUUGCUAAUACCCCGUAAUGCUUUAUUAAUUUAAAGUUAAAGAUUUAUUUGCCUAGAUAUGAGCUUGCGUCCGAUUAGCUAGUUGGUAGGGUAAAAGCUUACCAAGGCAACGAUCGGUAGCUGUUUCGAGAGAAAGAACAGCCACACUGGGACUGAGACACGGAACAGACUUCUACGGAAGGCAGCAGUGGGGAAUUUUUGGCAAUGGGUGAGAGCCUGACCAAGCAAUACCGCGUGGAGGAAGAAGGUUUUAGGAUUGUAAACUCCUUUUUUCAUUGAAGAAAAUAUGACGGUAAAUGAAGAAUAAGCAUCAGCUAAUUUCGUGCCAGCAGCUGCGGUAAUACGAGAGAUGCAAGCGUUAUCCGGAAUUAUUGGGCGUAAAGCGUUUGUAGAUGGUCUAAUAAGUUUAGUGUCAAAUCUUGAAGCUCAACUUCAAUACGGCAUUAAAAACUGUUAGUCUAGAGUGCGAUAGGGGUAAAGGGAAUUUCCAGUGUAGCGGUGAAAUGCGUAGAUAUUGGAAAGAACACCAAUGGCGAAAGCACUUUACUAGGUUGCUACUGACAUUGAGAGACGAAAGCUAGGGGAUCAAAAAGGAUUAGAUACCCUUGUAGUCCUAGCUGUAAACGAUGGAUACUAAAUGGUGCUUUUUGUACUGUUGUAGCUAACGCGUUAAGUAUCCCGCCUGGGGAGUACGCUUGCAAAAGUGAAACUCAAAGGAAUUGGCGGGGACCUGCACAAGCAGUGGAGCAUGUGGUUUAAUUCGAUGGUACACGAAGAACCUUACCAGGGUUUGACAUGUCAAGAAGUUUUCUGAAAGGAAGAUGUGCCUUAAUUGGAAUUUGACACAGGUGGUGCAUGGCUGUCGUCAGCUCGUGUCGUGAGAUAUUGGGUUAAGUCCCGUAACGAGCGCAACCCUUUUUUUUAGUUGUUUUCUAGAAAUACUGCCGGUGAUAAAUCGGAGGAAGGUGAGGAUGACGUCAAGUCAGCAUGCCCCUUAUGUCCUGGGCUACACACGUGCUACAAUGGCCAAUACAACGAGUAGCAAACUCGCGAGAGUAAGCAAAUCUCUAAAAGUUGGCCUUAGUUCGGAUUAUAGACUGCAACUCGUCUAUAUGAAGCCGGAAUUGCUAGUAAUCGCCGGUCAGCUAUACGGUGGUGAAUACGUUCUCAGGUCUUGCACACACCGCCCGUCACACCAUGGAAAUUGGCUAAACUCGAAGUAGUUUUCUUUUAGAUAGGCUACUAAGGUUGGGCUGGUGACUAGGGUGAAGUCGUAACAAGGUAGCCGUACU
rnacentral:rRNA from 1 species